AUUGUUAAUCUUUUGUUAAUUUUCUAAAUCUAAGGUUUCUCCCACACAAUCCUAAAAUUUUUGUUCUUCUUUUCUUGUUAUGAGUUUCGAUUACCCUAGGGUACUCAAGAGUGAUUGCCAUUUUGGGUAUUGGUUCUAUCGAGACACGGAUGACAUGGCAGGUGAUUUCUAACACGUGGCUGACACCUGGCGGAAUUCUGUUCGACUAUCGACCAGUAAGGCAUUGCAAGCAUGGAGCUGAGUUUUAUCACGACCAGCAUGGUCGUACAUUCUAGAUAUUUCAAAGAUAAUCUUAUAGGGAUCAUCGUCAUAUCCGAGAUUAUCUCCCAUGAUUUACUGAAUAUCCGAUUAUUUAAGAAAGAAUAUAUGUAACUAAUUCAUGUAAUCUUCCUUGAGCCUAUAAAUAAUGAGAAGAUAGCUCAAGGAAAGGACUUUUGGCUUUUGCUUAAUUAGAAUUACAUAUUCAAGAGAAAAUUAGAGCUAUUAGAUUACGAUUGUACUAUUUGUCUUUCUCAGGCUAGUGAAACUCAGAGAACCCUAGUUCUUUGAUCACUCCUUCGAGAUCUCAUAUCAAUAAUAGCUUAAGUAGACGUAGGUCAUUACCAGUUCUUGGGGCCGAACCACUAUAA